UACGUAGGGGGCAAGCGUUGUCCGGAUUUAUUGGGCGUAAAGAGCGUGUAGGCGGCCAGACAGGUCAGCUGUGAAAACUCGAGGCUCAACCUCGAGACGCCGGUGGAAACCAUCAGGCUAGAGUCCGGAAGAGGAGAGUGGAAUUCCUGGUGUAGCGGUGAAAUGCGCAGAUAUCAGGAAGAACACCCGUGGCUAAGGCGGCUCUCUAGUACGGUACUGACGCUGAGACGCGAAAGCGUGGGGAGCAAACAGG
rnacentral:rRNA from 1 species